rnacentral:tRNA from 1 species
GUAUAUAUAGCUCAGUGGUAGAACCCAUGCUUGGCAUGCACAAAGUCCUGGGUUCAAUUCCCAGUACCUCCA